GACGAACGCUGGCGGCGUGCUUAACACAUGCAAGUCGAGCGGAGCGGCGAACGGGUUAGUAACGCGUGAGUAACUGCCCCCCUCUCUGGGAUAACAGUUGGAAACGGCUGCUAAUACCGGAUAGUGGGGGAUGACUCGCGUCCUAUCAGCUUGUUGGGGGGGUAGUGGACUACCAAGGCGAGGACGGGUAGCCGGCCUGAGAGGGGGACCGGCCACAUUGGGCUUAGAUACGGCCCAAACUCCUACGGGAGGCAACCGUGGGAAGUCUUGCACAAUGGGGGCAACCCUGAUGCAGCACCGCGCGUGCGGGAUGACGGCCUUCGGGUUGUAAACCGCUUUCGGCCAUGACGCGGUAGUGGCAGAAGAAGCACCGGCUAACUACGUGCCAGCAGCCGCGGUAAUUC
rnacentral:rRNA from 1 species